GAAUAUUGGACAAUGGGGGCCACCCUGAUCCAGCCAUGCCGCGUGUGUGAAGAAGGCCUUUUGGUUGUAAAGCACUUUAAGCAGUGAAGAAGACUCCAUGGUUAAUCCCCAUGGACGAUGACAUUCGCUGCAGACUAAUCACCGGCUAACUCUGUGCCAGCCGCCGCGGUAAUACAGAGGGUGCAAGCGUUACUCGGAAUUACUGGGCGUCAAGCGGGCGUAGGGGGCUUGAUAAGUCAGAUGUGAAAUCCCCGGGCUUAACCUGGGAACUGCAUCUGAUACUGUUAGGCUAGAAUAGGUGAGAGGAAGGUAGAAUUCCAGGUGUAGCGGUGAAAUGCGUAGAGAUCUGGAGGAAUACCGAUGGCGAAGGCAGCCUUCUGGCAUCAUAUUGACACUGAGGUUCGAAAGCGUGGGUAGCAAAC
rnacentral:rRNA from 1 species